rnacentral:rRNA from 1 species
AACGAACGCUGGCGGCAGGCCUAACACAUGCAAGUCGAGCGAGGACUUCGGUCCUAGCGGCGGACGGGUGAGUAACGCGUGGGAACGUGCCCUUUGCUUCGGAAUAGCCCUGGGAAACUGGGAGUAAUACCGGAUGAGCCCUUUGGGGGAAAGAUUUAUCGGCGAAGGAUCGGCCCGCGUUGGAUUAGGUAGUUGGUGGGGUAAUGGCCUACCAAGCCGACGAUCCAUAGCUGGUUUGAGAGGAUGAUCAGCCACACUGGGACUGAGACACGGCCCAGACUCCUACGGGAGGCAGCAGUGGGGAAUCUUAGACAAUGGGGGAAACCCUGAUCUAGCCAUGCCGCGUGAGCGAUGAAGGCCUUAGGGUUGUAAAGCUCUUUCAGCUGGGAAGAUAAUGACGGUACCAGCAGAAGAAACCCCGGCGAACUCCGU